GGGGAUUUAGCUCAGUGGCAUAAGCACCUGCCUUGUAAGCAGUAGGUCGUGAGUUCGAUCCCCA
rnacentral:tRNA from 1 species